rnacentral:rRNA from 1 species
UAAUACGGAGGGUGCAAGCGUUGUUCGGAAUUAUUGGGCGUAAAGGGCGCGUAGGCGGUUGUGUAAGUCAGUUGUGAAAUACUUCGGCUCAACCGAAGAACUGCAUCUGAUACUGCAUAACUGGAGUACAGGAGAGGGAAACGGAAUUCCCGGUGUAGAGGUGAAAUUCGUAGAUAUCGGGAGGAACACCAGUGGCGAAGGCGGUUUCCUGGCCUGAUACUGACGCUGAGGCGCGAAAGCGUGGGGAGCAAACAGGAUUAGAUACCCUGGUAGUCCACGCAGUAAACGGUGAACACUAGGUGUGGGAGGUGUAAUACCUUCCGUGCCGAAGCUAACGCGUUAAGUGUUCCGCCUGGGAAGUACGGCCGCAAGGUUGAAACUUAAAGGAAUUGACGG